rnacentral:rRNA from 1 species
GACGAACGCUGGCGGCGUGCUUAACACAUGCAAGUCGAGCGGUAAGGCCUUUCGGGGUACACGAGCGGCGAACGGGUGAGUAACACGUGGGUGAUCUGCCCUGCACUUCGGGAUAAGCCUGGGAAACUGGGUCUAAUACCGGAUAUGACCUCCUAUCGCAUGGUGGGUGGUGGAAAGAUUUAUCGGUACAGGAUGGGCCCGCGGCCUAUCAGCUUGUUGGUGGGGUAAUGGCCUACCAAGGCGACGACGGGUAGCCGACCUGAGAGGGUGACCGGCCACACUGGGACUGAGACACGGCCCAGACUCCUACGGGAGGCAGCAGUGGGGAAUAUUGCACAAUGGGCGAAAGCCUGAUGCAGCGACGCCGCGUGAGGGAUGACGGCCUUCGGGUUGUAAACCUCUUUCAGCAGGGACGAAGCGCAAGUGACGGUACCUGCAGAAGAAGCACCGGCUAACUACGUG